GAUAUAUAUUUCAAUAUUCAUUACAACAUAAAUUUAGCAUCAUAAUGAACAAUCAAAUUGUCAUGAAAAAAUAUAUAAAAUAUAUAAAAACACCCUAAAAUUCCAUAAAACAAUAAAACCACACAUAAAUUUUGUGAAAGGGUCAAAUCAAGAGAAACUCACCAAUCCACUUCAUUUUCAUAUGUUCAAGCUCUUAUAAUUCCCAUAUGUGCUCUCAUUCAACUCCCACCAAUUAAACUAAGAAACAAAACCAAACAAGAAGAAUAAAUACACACACACACACACAUGAGAAAAAAAGAAAAAAAAGAAAAAAAAGAUAUUUAUCCAUGCCAAGAG
rnacentral:lncRNA from 1 species